AAUGAAACGAAACUCCGGCUGAGUUGUUGUUACGUCGUCGAGAGAGUCGCGUGUUCAUGUGUCGCGUUCGCGUUCGCGUUCUGAUAUGUCCGUUGUUGCCACGGGCUUUGUUUGGUCGCAAUGCAUCAGCAGCAGCAGCAGCAGUUCUGACUGACUGACUGACAACAGAUAAACAAAUCGGCAAGCCGCGAAGUGUGUCUGAAAGUGCGUGUCGUUCAUUUAAACGUGUCCUGCCGCCGUUACGGCUAAUUACGUUAACAGGAGCAAACAACAACAAUAAAAAAGGAAAAAAUAAAUGAAAACAAAAAUCUGCAAAGAAAAAAAAACCUAAUAAAUCGUCAUGAGGCUAUUGUAUUGACAAAACAUAAGUGUUGCAUACUUUUCGCGUCGCGUGUUACUUAUUUAAUUAUUCGGUUCGUCGUCUAUCCCGUACGCCUCCUAACCGUUAAUAAAUCUCUGAUAUUCACCUCUAUUUCUAUCAUCUACGUGUGUGUGUGUGCUUGUGUAUAUUUUAUACUGCUCUGUACAUAUGUACAAUAUUUGUCGUCAUUAUCAUCAUCAUCAUCAUAGUUGUUGUUGUUGUUAUUUACUCGGCAUUCGUAUAAAGUAAAAAUAUAAAUAAUUUGUGUUCUUCGGUGUUGUCUCGUGUAAGUGUCUAUAAUUUGUUAAACUACGACAAGCGAUCGGCGAAAAGCAAAACCAAAGGCAAUCAUAAUAACAUUUAUCGAUAUCCAAUUACGAUAUGGCAAAUGUUCCAUUGUGUGCGCAUCGAUUUGAAUGUCAACUGCCUAAGCAAUCGUCUCCCCAACAACUCCAACAACGACAAGUACAACAACAACACCAACAGCAAGCAACCGUUCAACAACAAGAAGAAGAGAAGGCUAGAAACGCCUAGCAGCUGAAAAUUCUUCAAUUUCAAUUCCCAUUAUAACUAACUAAAUUCGGGAAUUUUACAACAAAAAUUGAUGAACUCUUGAAAAGGUAAAGUUCAACCUAAUCAGUUAUGUGAGAAUAAUUGAAAAUGUGUGUGGGUAAGCAUAUAAUUAGAUUAGAAAUUAUAUUGGAAUAAUUACAUCAUUUAAUGUAGGUCGGAGGUGGAGAAGGUACAAAUCAGUCAAACAAAUGUAAAAUUUUGAGGUACCUUCACUUUAUUGAUUUAACAUUUAGCUCUUAACUGCCCUAAACAUGUGAAAGUAAGGCUUAGACUAAUUCUUCUUUAUGCUUAAGACAUGGCUAGCUUUAGAUCUAAACGCUCUUCACUUCCAAUACACAAGUUCAAGUAGCUCAAUUAAAUUGAGCAAAAAUCCAAUAACAUUUAAUUUAGAAUAUUUUAAUCAAUCAAAUAAAAUAUUCUUUGAAUAAUUUGUCAGUGGCAUCAGUUUGAUUGAAAGCGCGUGUAGAGAAUCUUUGCAUGUUUAAUAGCACGCAACAAUUUUUUUUAUUUUUAUGUCAGGUAAAAUAAUUCUUGAAAUUUAUAUAUGUAUAUGAGACACACACACACACACACGCAUUCAAAAUAUUCUGCUGCUUCUGUGAUUGGAUGCUGUUGGCUUUAAAUGUCUACAUGGCAGAAGCGAAGCUAGGAAAACCAAAACGCAAGCAUUCUAGAAAUGACAACAGAAAUUUUGCUAACCCUCCCAGCCACGUGCCCCUCUGUUGACAUUUCGCCCAUCUCUCAGACGUACAUACAUACAUAUAUACACGCGCUGCCAGAUUUUUGCUAAAGAAAAAACUAAUCCCCUUGGCACGCGGCGGCGACACUUCCAAGAAGCAAAAAUUCGCAGCAAACAAAGUCAAAGAGGAACCCAAAAGUGGGUUGGGACUUCUCGGAGCUCGGAGCUCGCAACUCGAAGCUCGGCACUGACACAAGGACACACAGGACGCACGAAUCCCGAACAUACUAUGGACAUUUGGGCGACUGGGCUGGGCGCGGCAGGGUAGGGCAGGGUUGGGUAGUAAAAGCGUACCGUUAUACAAACAUUACAUAAAAAUAUUAAAUUUAUGAUGCAAUAAAAAAAGAGUGUUAAAAGGGAGAGAGCUGCAAGAGAACAGCGAGAGGGGUGAACCGAAAGCAGGAGGCGAGGCAAUGUCAGCAUGCGUGUUGGAAGGGUACGUGACUUAGACGUGGGUUCAGGCCUGUCCAUGGGUUUGUUGCCUCUUGGCUGCGACUCGUUGGCAAAGUGGAAACAAAUUAAAGAAAAAUGCGCUUCAUGAAAAUUGGACAAAGCUAAAGAACAUUUCCAUACAUCAGCCGUGACACAAACGACCCGACACAAGUGAUCAACUGGACCGACCAACCGGUCCGGCCUAUCCCAAAAUGAUCUCUCAUCAUGCAAAAAAAGAAAAAGUGGAAAACAAUAUCAAUGGUAACUGUUUUUAGUUAAGCCCUCACGUCAAUGUUAAUAAAGGGAUGGCAGUCACACAAUGAGACAAACCAAGGGUUGCUCCUGGGCCGGGGGUUGUCUGUGCGGAGACACAGAGAAAGAGAGCGAGAGAGGGAGAGAGAGGACGAACAGCAGCAGGGUGAAGUGGCAAGCAACUCUCUCACGUACAAUUUGUGUCUGUUGUCUGCUCUUAGGCAAAAACUGUCACACGCCGUCGGCUUACUUUGACUUUUGACAGGCCAAAGUUGUGCGAAUCCAUAGUCUGGGGCUUUUGCGCUUCGAAUCAACGUCUGGCUGGCAAUUAUAUAUGUGAGCACGUGCCAGCCGAAGCUGAGGGCACAUCAAUUUGAUUGGUUGUGCAAAAUUUUCAUUAUUCUUAAUA